rnacentral:lncRNA from 1 species
GGCUGUGUCAGCCUCGCUUGGCAGCCUUUACUCCGGAGAAGACCUUCACCCUGGCGCCUGAGAGGACCUCACCCAGGGUGGCCCGUCAGCAGCACCUGGGCCUGGCUCGAGAGUGACCUGGGAGGGGGCUGAAAGGGCAGACAAGGGACAGUCGGGGGAGUCGGUUCACAGGCAGCACACUUGACCUCUCUUCCUGCAGACUCUUUUUUCCCGAGGAUCCUGUUAAGAUUGUCCGGGCCCAAGGGCAGUACAUGUACGAUGAACAGGGGGCAGAAUACAUCGAUUGCAUCAGCAAUGUGGCACACGUUGGGCACUGCCACCCUCUCGUGGUCCAAGCAGCACAUGAGCAGAACCAGGUGCUCAACACCAACAGCCGGUACCUGCAUGACAACAUCGUGGACUAUGCGCAGAGGCUGUCAGAGACCCUGCCGGAGCAGCUCUGUGUGUUCUAUUUCCUGAAUUCUGGUUUUGUGAGCCACUCGAGCAAAUUGAACCUACA